rnacentral:rRNA from 1 species
CAGCCGCCGCGGUAACACGAAGGGGGCUAGCGUUGCUCGGAAUGACUGGGCGUAAAGGGCGCGUAGGCGGUCACGAUAGUCAGAUGUGAAAUUCCUGGGCUUAACCUGGGGACUGCAUUUGAUACUGUGUGGCUUGAGUGUGGAAGAGGGUCGUGGAAUUCCCAGUGUAGAGGUGAAAUUCGUAGAUAUUGGGAAGAACGCCGGUGGCGAAGGCGGCGACCUGGUCCAUAACUGACGCUGAGGCGCGAAAGCGUGGGGAGCAAACAGGAUUAGAUACCCGAGUAGUCCCUGUCUCUUAUAC